rnacentral:rRNA from 1 species
AUUGAACGCUGGCGGCAUGCUUUACACAUGCAAGUCGAACGGUAACAGGGAGCUUGCUCCGCUGACGAGUGGCGAACGGGUGAGUAAUGCGUCGGAACGUGCCGAGUAGUGGGGGAUAACGCAUCGAAAGGUGUGCUAAUACCGCAUACGUACUGAGGUAGAAAGUGGGGGACCUUCGGGCCUCACGCUAUUCGAGCGGCCGACGUCUGAUUAGCUAGUUGGUGAGGUAAAGGCUAACCAAGGCGAAGAUCAGUAGCGGGUCUGAGAGGGUGAUCCGCCACACUGGGACUGAGACACGGCCCAGACUCCUACGGGAGGCAGCAGUGGGGAAUUUUGGACAAUGGGCGCAAGCCUGAUCCAGCCAUGCCGCGUGUCUGAAGAAGGCCUUCGGGUUGUAAAGGACUUUUGUCCGGGAGCAAAUGCCUGGUGUUAAUAGCACUGGGAGCUGAGAGUACCGGAAGAAUAAGCACCGGCUAACUACGUGCCAGCCGCCGCCGUAAGAC